AACGAACGCUGGCGGCGUGCCUAACACAUGCAAGUCGAACGGAUUUGAGGGGCUUGCUCCUCAAGUUAGUGGCGCACGGGUGAGUAACGCGUAGAUAAUCUGCCCGACGAUCCGGGAUAACAGUUCGAAAGGACUGCUAAUACCGGAUAAGCCCACGUGGUCUUUGGACCGUGCGGGAAAAGGGGGGGACCUUCGGGCCUUCUGUCGUCGGAUGAGUCUGCGUACCAUUAGCUAGUUGGUAGGGUAAAGGCCUACCAAGGCUACGAUGGUUAGCUGGUCUGGGAGGAUGCUAGGCCACACUGGAACUGAGACACGGGCCAGACUCCUACGGGAGGCAGCAGUGGGGAAUUUUGCGCAAUGGGCGAAAGCCUGACGCAGCAACGCCGCGUGAGUGAGGAAGGCUUUCGGGUCGUAAAGCUCUGUCAGGGGGAAAGAAGUGUAUUGUGGCUAAUAUCCACGAUACUUGACGGUACCCCCAAAGGAAGCACCGGCUAACUCCGUGCCAGCAGCCGCCGUAACAC
rnacentral:rRNA from 1 species